rnacentral:ncRNA from 1 species
AUUCCAAGGGGUGCUGUGAAAACGGCUGAGAUGAGCGACCGCUCGAACCCUCAAACCUGAUCCGGAUAAUACCGGCGUAGGAAUGCGAGUAU